rnacentral:rRNA from 1 species
UACAGAGGGUGCGAGCGUUGUUCGGAAUUAUUGGGCGUAAAGCGCUUGUAGGCGGCUUGUUAAGUUCCGUGUGAAAUCCCCAGGCUUAACCUGGGAAGUGCGCGGAAAACUGGCGAGCUUGAGUGCCGGAGAGGGUCGCGGGAAUUCCCGGUGUAGAGGUGAAAUUCGUAGAUAUCGGGAGGAACACCAGUGGCGAAGGCGGCGACCUGGACGGACACUGACGCUGAGACGCGAAAGCGUGGGGAGCAAACAGG